rnacentral:tRNA from 1 species
ACAGCGAUGGUCCAGUGGCCGGGCCCCGGUUUCCAAAACCGGUGAGUGGGGUUCGAUUCCUCAUCGCUGUGCCA